rnacentral:lncRNA from 1 species
UCGAACCGUUCAUUACGUGCUCAAAGAAGAAGAGCUCCAAUUAUCAAAAUUCUUUCAGAAGGAUGAAAACAUUAAGAUUUCAUUGGUCUUCAAUAGAUGCCGAGUUGGAUGCUCUAAGAAUUCUCGUACAUGAUGGCCAAUAUGAAUAGGUAGACCCAACUGAUUUUGUUUUAAAGGAUAAUUCUAUCCAAGAAAGAGAAGAAGAGAAAGAAGAAGAACUGGAAGAAGAGGAAGAGGUGGAAGAAGAGGAAAAAUUGAAAGAAAAAUAUGAAAGGCACCAGACAUCUGAAGAGGCCGAUGAGUAGUGCUAAGUAUAUAAUCCUAGAAUCAUUUUAGUUAUUUAUCUUGCAUCAUUUUAAAUCUUGCAUUAUCAUCUAUAAUUAUAUAAUUAAUUUGAUGAAUCUAUUUAUUUUUAUUUUCAGAGAUUAUAUAUUAUAUCUUCCAAAGGUCAGAGCCAUGCCAGCUUAAGAUAGAGCUCUCGAGAGACUGUAAAAAUUCUUCACUAGAACUAUAAAAAUUCUUAUAUGUAUACUUUAAUUAAUUUAAUUUUAUUAUCUACUUAUUGUAAAUAUGGUAGCUGAGUCAUCCACCAGGCCAG